UACGAGGGGGGCGAGCGUUGUUCGGAAUUAUUGGGCGUAAAGGGCGCGUAGGCGGCUCAUGAAGGCUGUGGUGAAAGUCCGGGGCUCAACCUCGGAUCGGCCGUGGCGACUCGUGGGCUGGAGCACUGUAGAGGCGGGUGGAAUUCCGGGUGUAGCGGUGGAAUGCGUAGAGAUCCGGAGGAACACCAAAGGCGAAGGCAGUGUCCUGGGGAGUACCUGACGCUCAGGUGCGAAAGCCAGGGGAGCGAACGGG
rnacentral:rRNA from 1 species